UACGAGGGGGGCGAGCGUUGUUCGGAAUUAUUGGGCGUAAAGGGUGCGUAGGCGGUUUGGUAAGUCUGAUGUGAAAUCUAUGGGCUCAACUCAUAGUCUGCAUCGGAAACUGCCGGGCUUGAGUGUGGGAGAGGUGAGUGGAAUUCCUGGUGUAGCGGUGAAAUGCGUAGAUAUCAGGAGGAACACCGGUGGCGAAGGCGGGUCUCUGGGCCGAUAUUGACGCUGAGGAGCGAAAGCGUGGGGAGCGAACAGG
rnacentral:rRNA from 1 species